AAAGUCGUAACAAGGUUUCCGUAGGUGAACCUGCGGAAGGAUCAUUAUUGAAUGAAUUUAGAGUUGGUUGUCGCUGGCCCCCCCAAGCAAAGGAGGGGGCAUGUGCACGCCUUCUCUUUUCAUCCACACACACCUGUGCACUUGUGAGACGGAGGAUUGAAAAAAAAGUCCUCCGUCUACUAAUUACACAAACUCAAUUGUACUUGAACUGAAUGUAAUUGAUGUAACACAUCAUUGGAACAAAGUUUCAACAACGGAUCUCUUGGCUCUC
rnacentral:misc_RNA from 1 species